rnacentral:rRNA from 1 species
CUACGGGAUGCUGCAGUGGGGAAUAUUGGUCAAUGGGGGAAACCCUGAUCCAGCAAUGCCGCGUGUGUGAAGAAGGCCUGCGGGUUGUAAAGCACUUUCGGUUGGGAGGACUGCUUCUAGCACUAAUAUUGUUGGAAGUUGACGUUACCUUCAGAAGAAGCACCGGCUAACUCCGUGCCAGCAGCCGCGGUAAUACGGGGGGUGCAAGCGUUAAUCGGAAUUACUGGGCGUAAAGCGCGCGUAGGCGGCUAGAUCAGUCGGGUGUGAAAGCCCCGGGCUUAACCUGGGAACUGCAUCCGAUACUGUCUAGCUUGAGUACAGGAGAGGAGAGUGGAAUUCCACAUGUAGCGGUGAAAUGCGUAGAUAUGUGGAGGAACACCAAUGGCGAAGGCAGCUCUCUGGCCUGAUACUGACGCUGAGGUGCGAAAGCGUGGGGAGCAAACAGGAUUAGAUACCCCCGUAGUC